rnacentral:lncRNA from 1 species
CUCGUCCCUCAUGGGAAAAUCUCGGGACUGAGGCAGAGCCCAGGUUGGAAUUCCAACUCUGCUAUCCGCAACCUUGGGCAAGGCACUUCCCUCCUGGCCCAGUUCAGAGCUGAGAUGAAAUUGAGAUCACUUCAAUGCUAGGGGUGGAGAUUGGCACUUUCUCCUUUGUCACUCCCAGCCCAUGUCCACUUCAGAGCAACACACUCUGGCUGGUAGCCUCUUCUCUGGGGCAGUGGGUUAUCAGGGAAGUCACAUGUCCCAACCCUGCCAAUUCCAAAGCUCCAGGAACUCUGCUGUCCAAGGGGUAGUGCACUGGGUAGUGCGCAAGGAGGUGAAAGGGCAAGGUCACGUGAGCCAGAGCCCCAAAGGGUCUUACUUCAUUCAGGAUGGGCAUCCUGUUUCCUCAGGCUCUGCCGGGAUUCCAGGGGCUUAAUGGAAUGAGUCAUGGGUGGGAGUUAUUGGGGAGUUCCCAGCUAAUCAGCUUGGGACAGGACAGCCUGAAACGAGGGAUGGUGCCUAUCCAAGCUUUGGGUGGGCACAGGAGGCAAGACCCCAAUAUCUCAGGUCCCUGUCCCUGCAGGAGUUUGGGAAUAAGAAUAGGGACAACUAGCUUUUGCCUUCUCUUUUAGAAUUUUUUUUCACAUUUUUACAGUUUAUUGUGUGCCCCCCAUAGCAGAGUCAUAGUUGGUACAUUCUCCUCCAUGAUUUGACCUAAGACAGUAACACAGCUAGGGGCAUGAAAUAAGAAGAACAGCUUAAGUUUCUAAAUUAUGUCUCUUUUUUAAAAAUAUCUUUUAUUUUAUUUUCUAAUUUGUUCUAAUUUGUUAUACAUGACAGUAGAAUGCACUUUGACACAUUGUACACAAAUGGAGCACAAUCUUUUAGAAUUUUUACCUAAGAUAAAGCGAGGGGCAAAAGGAGCUGCCCAGCACAUCUGCCA